rnacentral:lncRNA from 1 species
CGGUAUAAAUGAUUCAUCUACAUGUUGAUUGGUUUUUUCAUGAAACAAAAAACGGCUUUGGGAAUACACUACUAUAUCAAUUUCACUGACCGUCUUAUUUAGUGCAAGAAUUCAGGUUGUAAAUGUCAGGAAUCAGAGGUUGUAAAAAUGUUUUAAUUUUCAUUGGAAUGUUUCACGUUUUCCCUUCGGUGACUAUGCAUCAGUUGGACUUACUGUGUACUAAU